rnacentral:rRNA from 1 species
AUUGAACGCUGGCGGCAGGCCUAACACAUGCAAGUCGAGCGGAGCGACGGACGGGUGAGUAAUACCUAGGAAGCUGCCUGGUAGUGGGGGAGAACGUUCGGAAAAGGACGCUAAUACCGCAUACUAUCCGUCAAGGCUGCGCCGGAUUAGCUAGUUGGUGAGGUAAUGGCUCACCAAGGCUACGAUCCGUAACUGGUCUGAGAGGAUGAACAGUCACACUGGAACUGAGACACGGUCCAGACUCCUACGGGAGGCAGCAGUGGGGAAUAUUGGACAAUGGGCGAAAGCCUGAUCCAGCCAUGCCGCGUGUGUGAAGAAGGUCUUCGGAUUGUAAAGCACUUUCAGUGGGGAGGCGUUACCGACAGAAUAAGCACCGGCUAACUCUGUGCCAGCAGCCGCGGUAAUAC